CAUACAGAUGGCGCUAAGCCCCAUAGACCGCCGAUGGACCGCCAUGUUUUGAACGUACGGGCUCCUAUGGAAGCUUCGCUACCAGGUAUAUUUACCUUGCCAGGCGCGCGUGCAUACGUCAUGCGCCAGACAAGCCGCAGGAGCGAGCGAGGCCGGCUGAGCAUGUGAAGCUCGCGUGCUCGGCGACCCGUCUCUUUUAGAUGUAGCCCGUUUUUUGGGGGGGCUCCCGGCGUUCUCUUGCUUUCCGUCUGCAUUUCGACAUGGCACCGCUGCACUACUGGACUACAGCAAGCUGAUGGCAUCCGGUGGAGCUUCGUACGGCAACGACUGCUGCUUACCUGGUACCACAACUUUGGAUGAAUGCAGAAGCCCGGAACGAGCAUUUAUAUAGAGCAAAAUAAACAUUUCAUCAUUUC